GACGAACGCUGGCGGCGUGCUUAACACAUGCAAGUCGAACGGAAAGGCCCUUCGGGGUACUCGAGUGGCGAACGGGUGAGUAACACGUGGGUGAUCUGCCCUGCACUUUGGGAUAAGCCUGGGAAACUGGGUCUAAUACCGAAUAUGAUCAUCGGCUUCAUGGUCGGUGGUGGAAAGCUUUUGCGGUGUGGGAUGGGCCCGCGGCCUAUUAGCUUGUUGGUGGGGUAAUGGCCUACCAAGGCGACGACGGGUAGCCGGCCUGGGAGGGUGACCGGCCACACUGGGACUGAGAUACGGCCCAGACUCCUACGGGAGGCAGCAGUGGGGAAUAUUGCACAAUGGGCGCAAGCCUGAUGCAGCGACGCCGCGUGAGGGAUGACGGCCUUCGGGUUGUAAACCUCUUUCAGCACAGACGAAGCGCAAGUGACGGUAUGUGCAGAAGAAGGACCGGCCAACUACGUG
rnacentral:rRNA from 1 species